CUCAGUCAGUUCAAACCAUAGACCGCAUGGAGGCAGAGAGGGCCUCUGACUGAGCAACACACACACACACACACACACACACGUUUCUCCACUCCGUGUCCCAUGUUAAUUUAGCUUCACUGACAAAGGGCACAAACAGGCUGCAGGGACGAACAGCUGGAAACCACAGACGACUUCAGCGAACAGCAGAUGUCAGUGCUCAUUAAACAAGGGGGAAGGAAAGCCCAAUAGAGCAUUCUGGAACAUGGCCCUGACACCAAAAAUACAUAAGGGUAUAUACCUUGUGUUUUUUCAAAUUUUUGAAAUAUGGUCAUUUUUCCAUCUUUUAAGUAAAUAAAUUUUACUGAGACCGAAAAAUACAUAUAACAACUUUUUUCUUGUCAUACUGAUAUAUUUAGAAGGAAGAAAAGAAAGAUAGGCAUACAUGGCCACCACUGCGGACCUGCCUGGAAGGGUUAAAACACAAAGUCAAGGUUGGGCAACAAGGUAAAAAAAAAAUCUUUCUUCCUCUGCUUGGAUAAUUUAACCACUAUAAUGUGUUUUUAUAGUUAGUUUAGUAGUAAUAGUUUAUAGUUAGGCUGACAUGUUACUAUGUUUAAAAGAAAAAAAAACUGGAAGCUCUACUGGAACAUGACCCCAAAAAACAAAUUUUUGAUCAUCCGUUUUGGAUAAAUUGGACCAUGUGAUAUGGUAUACCCUUAUGUUUUUUUCAAAAUUUUUAUAGGGUAUACAGUUAGAUAUUAUUGAAAUUUAUUAAAAUG
rnacentral:lncRNA from 1 species